CUAUUUUAAUAACGCCCAUCUCUUCAAAGCCAUCAACAAGAGAUAUAAAUUCUUUUUCCAAGAAAUCAUGUUUGCAUCUCCUCAAUAAUUGUUUUUCAAAACACAAACCCUGGCUAAAUACAUGGAAGAAAAGGCAAUUAAGUAUUUUCAACAAAUGUGUCUUUAUAUGCAUACCAACCGAACAAAUGAGUUAAGUAUUUGACUUUAUUUCACUCCAACGUUUGUGUCACGGGCUACAAAGUGGAACCAAACCAAUCAUCAACCAUGUCUCUGUUUCUUUCCUUUCUCCCUUUUGUCUUCUUCAUUCAUAUUGCUUACUCUUUUUCUAGGCUGAAUUCCACAACAAUUGAAGGGCCUUUUGUACAAGAAUUCACUUUUCCUGCAAAAUCAGCUCCCUUCAAUAAUUGUCAUGCCUCUACCAUUGUUGAGGUUGGGAAGGGUCAUUUUUUGGUUGCAUACUUUGGAGGCACAUCUGAGGGUGCACCUGAUGUCAAAAUAUGGUUGCAGACCUACAAAAAUGGAAUAUGGCAACCACCUAUAGUUGGUGAUGAAGAACCAAAUGUUCCUAUGUGGAACCCUGUACUCUUCAAACUUCCAUCAAAUGUGUUACUUCUUUUCUACAGAAUAGGCCAAGAUGUUCAAAAAUGGAGUGGAUUCAUGAAACGGUCGUACGAUAAAGGAAUUACAUGGACAGAAAGAGAACAACUUCCACCUGGUAUAUUAGGACCUAUAAAGAAUAAGCCUCUCUUGUUGGAAAAUGGUGACUUACUUUGUGGAUCUUCUGUUGAAAGCUGGAACUCUUGGGGAUCAUGGGCAGAGGUUACAACAGAUUAUGGAAGGACAUGGAGAAAGUACGGUCCAAUUUACAUUAAGAAUAAGUCUCUAAGUGUGAUUCAACCUGUACCAUACCGGACUGAAAAUGGGACGCUGCGUGUUUUGCUUCGAUCCUUUGCUGGUCUCGGUAGAGUUUAUAAGUCGGAGUCCUUCGAUGGAGGCAAAACUUGGGAAUAUGCCGAACCUACACAGCUCCCUAACCCAAACUCAGGUAUUGAUGGGAUUAAGCUAAAAGAUGGUCGUUUAUUGAUUGCAUAUAAUACAAUUUCAAGGGGUGUACUUAAACUUGCUCUCUCUGAAGAUGAUGGUGAUUCAUGGGACGAGGGACUUACAUUGGAGGAUAGUAUAGGAAUGGAAUUUUCAUAUCCUGCUGUUAUUCAAGCUAGUGAUGGGAGAGUUCAUGUCACCUAUACAUAUAAUAGGACACAAAUAAAGCAUGUUGUGGUUAGGCCAAGGUGAUGCAUUAGAUAGAGAAGCAGAAAAAACAAGACAUCUUAUGCAUGGCAUUUAGCAUCAAGGUUCAAGAUUCAAGUUUUCUUUUAUCUUCAUUGAGGUGUUUUUUGGUGCUGAAUCUUUGACCGACAUCUUGAGAAAAUGAGAUUAAUUUUAUUUCAAAGAGUUAGAGAUGGGGAAGGAACGUCACAUUCACCACAAUUGACAUCCGAAAUGCUAGAAACAGUAAGACAAUUGACGCUAACUGAGGUGAGACGCGAGUCGACGCAACGUGAGACGACCUAAAGGUCCAAAUGGAGGCGCAACAACAUCAAAUAGAGGCAAUGACGAAGAGGAAAACUGAUAUGGAGAAAAUGAUGCGGCAAUUUAUGCAAUUACAAAUGAGUGGUAAUCAAGCGUUUGAUGGAAAUGAAGGAGUUGGUGGUCAAGAACGGAUGGAUGACGAGGAUCCUAACCUUGACGAGUUUCCCGAUCCCGAUG